rnacentral:rRNA from 1 species
CAGCAGUGAGGAAGGUGGUGUAGUUAAUAGCUGCAUUAUUUGACGUUAGCUGCAGAAAGAAGCACCGGCUAACUCCGUGCCAGCAGCCGCGGUAAUACGGAGGGUGCGAGCGUUAAUCGGAAUUACUGGGCGUAAAGCGCAUGCAGGUGGUUUGUUAAGUCAGAUGUGAAAGCCCCGGGGCUCAACCUCGGAAUUGCAUUUGAAACUGGCAGACUAGAGUACUGUAGAGGGGGUAGAAUUUCAGGUGUAGCGGUGAAAUGCGUAGAGAUCUGAAGGAAUACCGGUGGCGAAGGCGGCCCCCUGGACAGAUACUGACACUCAGAUGCGAAAGCGUGGGGAGCAAACAGGAUUAGAUACCCUGGUAG